AACCCACCUGAAAGUUAUAAAGUGGACUGAGAAGCGGGUAGGAGCAGUAGAGACCGAGCCACCUCGCGGCUAUAUGCUGAGCUGCGGGAGAGCCCACGCUGCCGGGUGCCCAGAGAGCGAGGAUGGCGCACGGGGGGGAGUGUAGUCACGGUGACCGCUGGGAGAGGAGAACCCCAUUGCCGCUGGCCGCCGGAGAAGAGCGACGCCGCCGGGAGAGCAGAGCCCUGCGCUGCCGCACUUCGCCCGCUACAGGGGUCAGAGCCAGGCCCAAAAUACAACCACAUCAGGCUGAGGAGAAGCCGCCAGCAGCAGCCGAGACCAAGAGGAGCCCAGCAGCAGAACCAGCGGGAGCACAGCAGCCGCGAGCAUGCGCCGGGAGCUGUGGUUUGAACACUGCCACUAACCGCCAGUGAACUGUUAAGGAGACUUGCACCCACACUGCACCACCACAUCCCUAUGUGGACCAUGAGAGUCAGGACAAGUCAUUGAGAAUGCCGGUACGGGAGCAAUGUCAUCACGCACGGCAUUCUGGGAGCAGCCGCGGGGGAGAGAAGACAGAGGAUCAUCUUCUGUAGUGUGUUGGGUGAUGGCACGUUGUACUACUACAUGUAGCCGCACGCUCUCCCACCCGUUCUGCAGCCUAAUUGCCCUGAGGAGGAGAUCCAUCACACAGGCAGUCCUGGAGCAGCACAGAAGCUGCAGCAUCAGCUCUGACAGGAGGAUAUGCGUGCCGUCCCCGCCAGGAUGAUUUUGGCUAGGACAACUUCCAGUUAAAUGCAGUCACUAUGAAGCAAUAUUAUUUACCGGAUACAGAUCAAUGCUGCUCCCUUGACAUAGCAUCAGCCUUAGGAGAAGUCCAUUUGUCCAGCUGAAGGGAAACACCAGAAAUUCGCUGUGCUGCAAAGUUCGAUUGUUGGAAAGGAGUCUAACUAUUUGCCAAAGGAACUGCCAAAAAGGGUACAGAUGAACAUGAGAGAGUGGGAUCCGUAUAGGUGUUUGGAGAGAGUAUCAAGAGCUCAACACGUUUCACUAAUUGCUGAAAGUCCAGCUUCCUCAGGAGCAUAUGUAAUAAAAUGUUAAUAGAAUGAAGUGUCUCUCUAAACCUGAUGGGACCUCAGUUUCCAGCCCCUGUGACACUGCAAAACCAUUUACCUCUUAUUAUGAGAAAUUGUACAAUCUUAACUGUGAUGACUCUUCCAACCCAAAGAAGCUUUGAUUCAAUCCUUUUUAGACUCUGAUAAUUUACCAUUUCUCUCCUCGGCUUAUGCGUCACCUUUUAGAUCUCUUAAACGGCUUUAAGAUCUCUUAAAAAAAAUAAAGCUCCUAGCCCAGAUGGGGUUAUCAAUAA